rnacentral:rRNA from 2 species
UUUGGUUAAGUUAGAAAGGGCGCACGGUGGAUGCCUUGACACUAGGAGUCGAUGAAGGACGGGACUAACGCCGAUAUGCUUCGGGGAGCUGUAAGUAAG